rnacentral:rRNA from 1 species
GAUCUGCCCGAGGGCGGGGGAUAACCACUGGAAACGGUGGCUAAUACCGCAUAAUGUCGCGAGACCAAAGUGGGGGACCUGAAAGGGCCUCACGCCGUCGGAUGAACCCAGAUGGGAUUAGCUAGUAGGUAGGGUAAAGGCCUACCUAGGCGACGAUCCCUAGCUGGUCUGAGAGGAUGACCAGCCACACUGGGACUGAGACACGGCCCAGACUCCUACGGGAGGCAGCAGUGGGGAAUAUUGCACAAUGGGCGCAAGCCUGAUGCAGCCAUGCCGCGUGUAUGAAGAAGGCCUUCGGGUUGUAAAGUACUUUCAGCGGGGAGGAAGGGUUCAGCUUGAACAGAGCUGGAUUUUGACGUUACCCGCAGAAGAAGCACCGGCUAACUCCGUGCCAGCAGCCGCGGUAAUACGGAGGGUGCAAGCGUUAAUCGGAAUGACUGGGCGUAAAGCGCACGCAGGCGGUCAAUUAAGUUAGAUGUGAAAUCCCCGGGCUCAACCUGGGAAUGGCAUCUAAGACUGGUUGGCUGGAGUCUCGUAGAGGGGGGUAGAAUUCCAUGUGUAGCGGUGAAAUGCGUAGAGAUGUGGAGGAAUACCGGUGGCGAAGGCGGCCCCCUGGACGAAGACUGACGCUCAGGUGCGAAAGCGUGGGGAGCAAACAGGAUUAGAUACCCUGGUAGUCCACGCUGUAAACGAUGUCGAUUUGGAGGUUGUGGCCUUGAGCUGUGGCUUCCGAAGCUAACGCGUUAAAUCGACCGCCUGGGGAGUACGGCCGCAAGGUUAAAACUCAAAUGAAUUGACGGGGGCCCGCACAAGCGGUGGAGCAUGUGGUUUAAUUCGAUGCAACGCGAAGAACCUUACCUACUCUUGACAUCCAGAGAAGACCUCAGAGAUGAGGUUGUGCCUUCGGGAGCUCUGAGACAGGUGCUGCAUGGCUGUCGUCAGCUCGUGUUGUGAAAUGUUGGGUUAAGUCCCGCAACGAGCGCAACCCUUAUCCUUUGUUGCCAGCGCGUGAAGGCGGGAACUCAAAGGAGACUGCCGGUGAUAAACCGGAGGAAGGUGGGGAUGACGUCAAGUCAUCAUGGCCCUGACGAGUAGGGCUACACACGUGCUACAAUGGCGGAUACAAAGUGAAGCGACCUCGCGAGAGCAAGCGGAACACACAAAGUCUGUCGUAGUCCGGAU